GUAUGUAUUUCAAAAAAAGAACAUAAAUAUUAAUAAUCUUAAAAUAAAUAUUAAUUAUCUUAAGAAAUUAAUCUUUGUUGAAUGUAUUUCAAAAAGGAACAUAAAUAUUAAUAACAGCAAUUUAAACAAUGAAAUUGAAUAAAAAGAUGUUCAUCUUAGGAACUUCAUCUUUGUUCUAUGUAUUUCAAAAAAGAACAUAAAUAUUAAUAAUAGCAAAACAAGUAAUAAAAUUAAAUAAAGAGCUGUUUAUCUUAGGAAAUUAAUCUUUGUUGUAUGCAUUUCAGAAGGGAACAUAAAUAUUAAUAACAGCAAUUUAAACAAUGAAAUUGAAUAAAAAGAUGUUCAUCUUAGGAACUUCAUCUUUGUUCUAUGUAUUUCAAAAAAGAACAUAAAUAUUAAUAAUAGCAACACAAGUAAUAAAAUUAAAUAAAAAGCUGUUCAUCACAUCACAUUCGAUGUCCGCUUUUAAUUUAUUGACUACAAUUCUGCUACAUUGUUCAUUGAGGUCCCAUUGAGAUUACCAACACCGAUUUCGUCGGCAACAAUUCGCCGACACCAGUCUGGAUCGGCAACAAUGAUAGUCGACACAGAAUUUAACUAAUUGCAGAGUUUGGUUUAGAGUUCACAGCACAUAUUAUAUCAGUGCGCGUCCCAACUUCGUCCACCUAAGGAAUAUGUAUCUCGAUCAUUAUUAUUCGGUUGACGGUAUCAGUUAAUAUUGACGUCGGAUAACAUUGCUGUUGACGAAAUUAUCAUCGUUGAAAUUUCGUGUGGAACAGGUGCGAUAUCGAUGAAUUGUAAUUGUAUGAAAACAGUAUCAGUGAAAUCCGUGUCAGUGAUUUCUCAAUGGAAUCCAUUCAUUGCAGAGGUUUAAAGCUACCAGGACUUGUCGAAAUUAUAAGAAUAAAUAAAAAUAUCUUUAACAAUAUUAUUUUUGUUUCUAAUGACCAGGAACUGGAUGAGUAUGAAAAAACAACAAUAAAACACUACAAUGAAAUUUUAUUAUUUCUUCCAAUGAAUAUGUACUUGUACAAUCGAUAAACCUUUAAGAUCUUGGGUCAUUUUGUCGAAUAUUUUGUAUGUUAAUUAUAUUAGAUUAAUUAUAUUAAUUAUUUAAUUUAAUAAUCUAAUAAUUAAUUAAUUAUAUUAGAUUAAUUCUAUUAGGCCUGCCCCAUCCUACAACAUUAAUAAUCAUACAAUCCGUCACUGAGGAUCUUUAUUUUUCUGUACAUGUGAACUCCUCUUGCAUAUUGCUCCAUUCACAAUGUGCCACCCUCUAUCUUUCACCAUUUCCAACAUUGUCUCUCCUUCUCUAUUUCUUUCUAUUACGCUCGCCUGUACACAGUUUCAUCUCUUCCUAUUCUUCAAUUGAAAUCCUGUCCUAUAAUUCAAAUCAGCACCUUGUCUUUCACUUGUCCUUAGUUCAGACAUUUUGCAACUUCCCUUCUACUCUCAUUUCUCUCCCUACAAGUUCUUGUACUUCAUGACAUUCUUCUAUUAGUUGCCAGUCUCUUCCUUCAAUCCUAUUUAUAAUAGGAAUUUUUAUUAUUUCAUAUAUUAUUUCAUAUUAUUUUUAUUAUUUACUCUAAUUACCUAUCUAUAAUAGGAUUAUUUCCCCUUUCAUUCCUACUUUCAUCCUUAGUUCCUCCUUAGUUUCACCCUUGUUCCCUCACCUAGACCUUGUAAUUGUCUUUCUGUCUUUACUUUUCAUCCUUCCUUCUGCCUACUUUGACCUUUGCUCCCUUCAAAUUCUUCUGUACGUAUGCCAUUGCGUCUAAACUCUUCCACUUUCCACUAUCUUUACCUUGUGGCUCCCUUUUAUCCUUGAUCCAUGGGAUGGAAAGUAUCUUCUUUAAACUUUGCCAUCUCUUCACUUCCAUCCAUGUUCUGUCAAAUCUUCAAAGUCUUCAAGCUUCUAUCAAAUCUUCAAAGUCUUCAAGCUUCUGUCAAACUAAUGAAACCCCUUUAGAAAAUCUCCAAACCUGCUGACCUUUUUCUCUGCUCCUGUAUGACAGAACGAUAACCUACUUUCUCUUUCCUUUCUCCAUAUUUCUAUUCUUACCUUUUCUAUCUCUCUCUGCACUCCAUACGUUCCCUCUUUCUUCAUUUUCUUUCCUUUCCGCUCUCUUCUUUUCAUCUGUCUUUCUUGAUCCCCGAGGCUACUUCAGAAAGAUCUUCCUAUGACAGUUACACGAAUUGCUCGUCUUUAUGCCAUUUGAACCAACAAUUUAGAUCUUCGAAGAACGUUUUAUCUAAAAUAUUUGCCAGAUCUUUCGAUUGACUCUGCUUGAAGGACGUGCAGUUUUGCAUAGGUCCAGCGCUUUUUGCCAAGUUACAGAAGACAUGGAACACGGUGAAGUUUUAACACGUUUUCUUUUUUUUUUUUUCUCAUUGCUCUUCUACGUUCGAGAGAUAUUUGCCGGUACGUGCUUGAAACGCGGACAUUUUUCGAAGCAACGGUAUAUACAGUUCAAGUGUAUCUUUGAGCAUUUCAAGGUUUAAUGCUUCAGCUAAUAUUUUAACUAAAUGAUACGUAAAUUAACGUUGAACGAUUUUAAAGCCACGUUCAAUCGACAGAUUCUCAGCAGUGUUAGACGAACGUCGGAUCGUUUUACAUUGUGAUCCUUGUUCAUCCUUAAUAUUAAUAUACGUCAAUAACUUUAAUAUCUUCUGUUCUAUGAGUUAGACGGUUCUCGAGGCUUUAUUAUUUGAUUAAAAUCUUACCUGUUUAAUAUCGAUGGUUAAAAAUUAUCUUGGAAUGUUAUUAACGCAAACUGACCAUAGCUUGUCCAAUGUUAUUAGAACGUUCUGUAAUAAUGUAUAAGAAGCUUUUUUGUACCAUCGUGUCAUUCAGCGCCAUUUCUCACAAUAUCCCAAGUCAAUGCACGAAACAACAGCAAUAAAGAUGAUUCUUAAGCGGUCAUUAUUCGAUAUUGUUAAUGAUAGUUAUACAAAUAAAUCGAGCUGUGAACAUCGGAGGGAAUUAACGAGUCGAGAAAUCGCUCGCUUCGUUUUAACUUGAGAAAAUUUCUUAACGCUCGUAUCUGGAAAAAAGAUUAUCUUUUCAUUAUUUAAAUAGUCGAGAAUACUAUGGACUUGCGUAACAAUACGAUGUAAGAUAUCGUUUCGGGAAUUUCCUCUCGCUGUUCGUCUUUGCAAAAAUUAUAGUUCUUCUGGCGUCUUUCGAUGGGAAAAAGUGUCGAGAACUUCCAUUCCGCGGUCUAAAUCAGCAACGUGUAGUUGGAAACGCCAGUUCUCGCUCAAAGUACAAGUAAAACCGAGCGAGAGGUUAGGAUGUUUCCGACGUCAGGGCGGUCGUUGCUAAACAGUUGUGUUUGCGUUUCGUAUUUUGCCACAUCGUCGAAACGGUGAGAGUGGCAGCACUAGAAAGGGCAAAGAAGAACGAUAAUUUGCAGGGCUCAAGAAAUGAUCGUUCAACACGAUAAUACCACGUAAUUGUGAUAAAAGUAUAAGAGAAGCGUGAGGCAGAGAAAAAGGCAAAGAUUACCAAUAUUAAUUAGUUAAUUAAUGAACACAUAGCGAAGUAGAUAAUUUUUUUAGAUGAUCAAGAAAAUAAAUUACAGGGAAUAUUUAUACAUACGCGUGCGUACAGGAAAAAAAAAUAUAUAUAUAUAUAUAUUAUAGUUGCACGCGUGCAUGUGUAAAGUAAAUGAAACGAGACGAGAAUUUUAUCCACGAAACAGACAAGUGAUUAAUAUAUAAUUGAUUUAAGGGCUGUAUUAACCGACACACAAUUAGAAAACGAUAGAGAGAUAUACAGUAUGAUUAAUUAAUGAAACAUUAGAAUAACUAUUAUACCAAUUAAUUAAUUGGAUGCAUACAUUAUGCGUGUAUACAUUAACAGCAGCAACGUAUGUACUUGUAUACAUAAAUAAUAAUACAAUAUUAUUAUUAUAAUUAUUAUUAUAUAUUAUACAUAUAAAUAUAUUAUAUUGUAUACACAUUAGUGAAUGUUCAAUGUUGAAAUAAAAUGCAUAUACGUUGUUUACACCAUAUACGUCUACUUGCUCGCCUAUUAUUUCAUUCCCUCGAACGUACAACCUUUACGUUGUUUUCUCACGUUCGUCUAAUAGCUUUCCAGUCCAGUUCCUGCGUCCAUCGGUUCAUACGAUCCAAUUCCUGCUUCCAUCGGUUCAUACGAUCCAGUUCCAUCCAAUCCAGCAGUGGAUCGUAAUUAACGCGACCAAUGUUUUCAUUCCAGUACAGUAACCUCAUUCUGCUUUCGAAUAACAUGGACAUUGAGCGAUUUCCAGUCGAACGACUGGAAUGUAAUCCAGCGACUGGACUAAGGCAAACCCAGCUUUACUUUUUGGACCAUAUUUUGAACAUUAGUAGGGACGUAGAAUAUAAUUUUAUGAAUAUCUACUAUUUUUUGAAAGUGUAAUAUGUUGAGAGGGGUUUGCUUAAAAAAAAAUAAUGAAAAUAAAUAUCGUAGAAGAAAGUGUCGUAAAUAAUUAUAAGCGCUUUUACUUUAAUAUUUUCUGACUUUUAUAUUUUGCUUUCUCUUUUAUAUGAGGUUAUUGCAAAAGUUUCUCUCGUUUUGUAAGGAAAUAAUAGAUGCACGGAAUUUUUGUUUUAUAUUAUUUUAUUGAAUUAUUUUGUUUUAUUACUACAAAAUGGUUCAUAUAUAAUUCAAUGAAAUAAUAUGAAAGAAAGAAUGUUGUGCAUCUAUUAUUUCCUUAUAAAGCAAAACAAAAGAAAUUUUUCGGAUAACCUAAUAUUUAUAAGCAAUUUUACUUCAGGACGAAAAUUGAGUGACAAGAAGUAAACAGAAAAUAGUUAAGAAAGAAGUUUACUUUAAUAUUUAUUGACGAUGAAUUGAUAAUAAAUUCAGUUAACCGAAAAUAACAAAUAGAGAAUAAUUAAGAAAAAAUGGAACUUAGUAAUCAUCUAAAUCAAUAUCAGUAUCUAGCUCGAUAGCUUUUCAAUUUCUAUGUCAUAAUUGUGAAUCUCGUUUAUAGCUGUAAAUAUGUCGCGGAUUCAUAUUUUGUGAGGCUUUUUCCAAGAUUGAGGUUAGGUUUAGAUUGGUCUUAGGUUCGAUAACGGUCAACGGGAGGAUAGUUAUACUUGCUCACACAAUAGUCACAGAUCGUAAGGCGCUACUCUCUUCGUCGAGGAGAUCGCAAGAAAGAAUGAAUUUUCGUCCCGAUGAUGCCACCGAGGAAAACUAUGAUGGGAUGUGUCUAAGGACACGAGAUCAUCGGAUUCGUCGAGUAUAGCCCUCGUUCCGAAAGUAAGGGAAAUUGACAUCGCUGUCAAUUGGUCAAUUUGGGACAAAGACUGCCUGUCCGUUUGAAGAAUCUUAAUUACCAGUGUGGCGGAUCGGUAUCAAUAGGACGCAGACAGGUCGAGGCAUCAACGCGGCGCAACACCUCCCGGGCGAUCCGCUGGUACCAACCGCCAACACUAGAGGGCUACGACGACAACGAGUCUGUCUAACUCGCUAGCGGUCGAAUAUACGAGCGAUUGAUACAAAUACCGCACCUAGCGAGACUCCCUCUACGUCUAAGGCAGGGACUACCGGGCAUAGCCUUACU